rnacentral:rRNA from 1 species
CCUACGGGAGGCAGCAGUCGGGAAUUUUGGACAAUGGGCGAAAGCCUGAUCCAGCCAUGCCGCGUGAGUGAAGAAGGCCUUCGGGUUGUAAAGCUCUUUCAGCCGGAAAGAAAUCGCGCAGGAUAAUACUCUGCGUGGAUGACGGUACCGGAAGAAGAAGCACCGGCUAACUACGUGCCAGCAGCCGCGGUAAU